GUGCUUGCUUCAGCAGCACAUAUACUAAAACUGAAAUGAUGCAGAGAAGAUUCACAUGGCCCCUGCUCAAGGAUGACAUGCAAAUUCGUGAAGCGUACCAUAUUUUU
ensembl:snRNA RNU6-756P RNA, U6 small nuclear 756, pseudogene